rnacentral:rRNA from 1 species
UACGUAGGGUGCAAGCGUUGUCCGGAAUUAUUGGGCGUAAAGAGCUCGUAGGCGGUCUGUCGCGUCGGCUGUGAAAACCCAGGGCUCAACCCUGGGCCUGCAUUCGAUACGGGCAGACUAGAGUUCGGUAGGGGAGACUGGAAUUCCUGGUGUAGCGGUGAAAUGCGCAGAUAUCAGGAGGAACACCGGUGGCGAAGGCGGGUCUCUGGGCCGAAACUGACGCUGAGGAGCGAAAGCGUGGGGAGCAAACAGG